rnacentral:lncRNA from 1 species
CCAACAAAUCAGAGUAUCAAUGAAGUGAAAGACAAGUCUACAACCUAAACCAAAUCCAGAAAUCAAGAGAAACAUGCAAAACUGUACAAAAGACACAACAAAAACUACCUAGAAAACAAAAAAUUUAACGCAGAAAAACAAAAACUGACAAAGAAAAUAAAAUUCUCCCCCAAUAGACCACACUUAAACGACACAGUGUCCUCAAUGUGUCACAAUCAUCAGAUCACAAUCAUAGCAGUCAACAAACCAAGGACAAGGGCAAUAAAAGUAAGGAAAGGGGGAGAGAAGGGAAAAGGAAACUCCCCUGAUCAUGGUGGUAGUUGCCAAUUUUGGACUAUCAGGGAGAUCUCUUCCACCACCG